UUUUUAGUAUAAGUAAGUCCCAUGCAAGAUUUGGGACUUACUUAUACUAAAA
rfam:Ailuropoda melanoleuca scaffold921_74, whole genome shotgun sequence.